AUUUUGUGAUCUAGUGCCUUGCGAUGUCAUCACAGGAAUUGCUUUGAAAAAUUUGCCGCAUGAGACAUAGUUUACUGUUUCAGAGGCUGCAAAAAGCUGGCUGCGACGUGCCAAUAAAUAUUAUACAAGGAGAGAAAAUCAACCAUGAACUAGGAUUGAAUGCCGAAUUAAUUAUAU